rnacentral:tRNA from 1 species
ACCCCAUAGCUCAGUUGGAUAGAGUGUGGUGCUGAUAACGCCAAGGUCGCAGGUUCGAUCCCCAUAUGGGACA